CAAGUCGAACGAUGAACUCCAGCUUGCUGGGGGGAUUAGUGGCGAACGGGUGAGUAACACGUGAGUAACCUGCCCUGGACUCUGGGAUAACCCCGAGAAAUCGGAGCUAAUACCGGAUAGGACCUGGAACCGCAUGGUUUUGGGUGGAAAGUUUUUCGGUCUGGGAUGGACUCGCGGCCUAUCAGCUUGUUGGUGAGGUAAUGGCUCACCAAGGCGUCGACGGGUAGCCGGCCUGAGAGGGUGACCGGCCACACUGGGACUGAGACACGGCCCAGACUCCUACGGGAGGCAGCAGUGGGGAAUAUUGCACAAUGGGCGCAAGCCUGAUGCAGCAACGCCGCGUGCGGGAUGACGGCCUUCGGGUUGUAAACCGCUUUUAGUAAGGAAGAAGGGGAGCUUGCUCCUUGACGGUACUUGCAGAAAAAGGACCGGCUAACUACGUGCCAGCAGCCGCGGUAAUACGUAGGGUCCGAGCGUUGUCCGGAAUUAUUGGGCGUAAAGAGCUCGUAGGCGGUUUGUCGCGUCUGCUGUGAAAUCCCGAGGCUCAACCUCGGGUCUGCAGUGGGUACGGGCAGACUGGAGUGCGGUAGGGGAGAAUGGAAUUCCUGGUGUAGCGGUGGAAUGCGCAGAUAUCAGGAGGAACACCGAUGGCGAAGGCAGUUCUCUGGGCCGUAACUGACGCUGAGGAGCGAAAGCGUGGGGAGCGAACAGGAUUAGAUACCCUGGUAGUCCACGCCGUAAACGUUGGGCGCUAGAUGUGGGGACCUUUCCACGGUUUCCGUGUCGUAGCUAACGCAUUAAGCGCCCCGCCUGGGGAGUACGGCCGCAAGGCUAAAACUCAAAGGAAUUGACGGGGGCCCGCACAAGCGGCGGAGCAUGCGGAUUAAUUCGAUGCAACGCGAAGAACCUUACCAAGGCUUGACAUAACCGAGAACGCCGCAGAAAUGUGGAACUCUUUGGACACUCGGUUACAGGUGUUGCAUGGAUGUCGUCAGCUCGUGUCGUGAGAUGUUGGGUUAAGU
rnacentral:rRNA from 1 species